rnacentral:rRNA from 1 species
UACGUAGGGUGCGAGCGUUGCUCGGAAUCACUGGGCGUAAAGCGCACGUAGGCGGCUUUGUAAGUUAGAGGCGAAAGCCCGGGGCUCAACUCCGGAAUUGCCUUUAAGACUGCAUCGCUAGAAUUGUGGAGAGGUAAGUGGAAUUCCGAGUGUAGAGGUGAAAUUCGUAGAUAUUCGGAAGAACACCAGUGGCGAAGGCGACUUACUGGACACAUAUUGACGCUGAGGUGCGAAAGCGUGGGGAGCAAACAGG